CUCGUGUCGUGAGGAUGUUGGGUUAAGUCCCGCAACGAGCGCAACCCCUGUGGUUAGUUGCCAGCAAGUAGCGUUGGGCACUCUAGCCAGACUGCCGGUGAUAAAUCGGAGGAAGGUGGGGACGACGUCAAAUCAUCAUGCCCUUUAUGUCCUGGGCUACACACGUACUACAAUGGCCGUUACAACGGGAAGCGAAGGAGCAAUCCGGAGCAAAUCCCUUAAAGGCGGUCCCAGUUCAGAUUGUGGGCUGAAACUCGCCCACAUGAAGGCGGAAUUGCUAGUAAUUGCAGAUCAGCAUGCUGCCAGUCGAAUACGUUCCCGGGCCUU
rnacentral:rRNA from 1 species